UGAAAACUAUAGAACACUAAAGAAAGAAAUUGAAGAAGACCUUAGAAAAUGGAAAAAUUUCCCAUGUUCUUGGAUAGGGAGAAUUAAUAUUAUCAAAAUAGCUAUAUUGCCAAAAGCACUAUAACAAUUCCUAUUGAAAUCCCAAUGACCUUAUUCAUAGAAAUAUAAAAAACAGUCAUGAAAUUCAUUUGGAAAAAUAAGAGGGUCAGAAUAGCCCAAAACUAUCUUAGUGAGAAAGGUAUUACAGUAAGCAUCACAAUGUCAGACUUUAACUUAUAUUAUACAGCUACAGUAACAAAAAAAUGGCAUGGUAUUGGCAUAGAAACAGACACGAAGACCAAUGGGACAGAACAGAACACACAGAGACAUAGCUACCAAAAUACAGUUAUUUCAUACUAGACAAAGGCACCAUACAUUGGAGAAAAGAAAGCCUCUUCAAUGAAUGGUGCUGGGAAAACUGGAAAUCUAUCUGCAGUAGAUUGAAAUUGAACUCCUAUAUCUCAAUCUGCAUGAAACUCAACUCAAUAUGGAUCACACACCUAGGCAUUAGGCCAGACACCAUGUGCUUACUAAAAUAAAAAUUUGGACCAACUCUCUAUCAUGUUGGCUCAGGAACAGACUUCCUCAACAUAAAAUCUUUGAUAAAAUGUGAAGUUGUAUGGCUCAGCUUUGAUGAGAAGAGCUCCUCAGUUUUAAAUCAUUUGUAUCAUCCACUAAUGUCCAUGCUGGGCUGAAAUAUGAGUUCUGAGCUAUUAAAUUUAUGCUCAGAUCUGAGACCCCUUGUAUUCACAGGAUAUGCUCUUAUUUGAAAAAGCGUUUUAUUAAAUGUAAGGAAGCUGAGUUUAUCCUGAAUUAAAGUGACCCUUAAUCUUUUGACUGUUGUCCUUAUAAAGGAGUAAAAAACACAGACAGAAGGAAGAGAGCUAUGUGAAUAAAGCAGUGACUGGAGUGAAGCUGUCAGAAACAGGUGUCACCAAAAACUACAAAAAGCAAGGGAAUAAGCUACUUCAGAGUUUUCAGAGUAAGUGUGGGGUCUAUAAACACCUUGAGUUUGGACUUCUAGCAUCUAGAAGUAAUAGAAAAUAAAGUUCUGUUGUUUUAAGCCACUGAAUACCUGGCACAUAUUUUCCCCUUAUCUGCAGUUUUAUUUCCACAGUUUCAGUUGCCUAUAAUCAACUGUGGUCCCAAGAUAUUAAAUGGAAAUUCCAGAAAUAAAUAAUUAAUAAGUUUUAAAUAACUUUUACUUCAAUAUACUGUUAAAAUUGUUAUUGUUAUAUUUUAUUAUUGGUGUUAAUCUCUUAGGAGUCUUUGCUAACUUAUAAGUUGAAUUUUGACCUAGGUAUGUAUAAGAAAAAACAUAAUGUUUAUCUGGUUUGGUUUCAGGAACCCACAAGUGGUCUUGAAACACAUUCCAGUGUGUUUAAUUGGGGACUGCUUUAAUUUGUUAUAGCAACUCUGAAAACCAAGUGUAUACCAGCAUUAUAGAUAUUUUACUUGUGAUAUGACUCCUACAGUAAUUUGGCUAAAAAUGAGGCUGAUUAACAUAAUAAAAAAAUCAACCUUUCUAAAUACUUAGAUACUAUAUUAAAAAAAAAACAUUGUUAAACAAAUUUCAUGUUUGACAACCAUUUGAGGAUUUGUGCACAUACUUCUUUCCUGAAUUAUUUUUUUUAUAAAUCUGUCAAUCUUUAUCUUAUACAACUACCAACAGAGAAUCAAUAUAUUUGAGAACUUCCUACCAUGCAACCAAUAAAUAAUUCCUAUUAAUAAACAUUCAAGAAACGUGUAUUUAUAAUAAAAAUAUUAUGUUUAAUUAUGUAUGGAAGAGAGAAAAAAAUCAAAUGCCACAAUAUGGUCUGCAAAAAAACUCAAGUAAAAUUAUCAGUAAUAAUAAAGCAAGCAUGUGUAUGCUUCAAAAGAAAGUAGAAGUAGUUUUAAAGACAAACUAAAGAUUGACCAGGUAAGUCCAUAAAGGAACUAGAUGACUUAAGAUAAAAAUAAAACAAUUUACAUUAAGUCCCAGAUGAAUGGUAUAGCACUGGACUAAGCACAUUUAAAAAGAAAAUGGUUAACCUAGAAGAUAAAUCUAAAGAAAGGAUCCAAACCAUUCAUGAACAGAGAUAAAUCAUAUUUUUUAAAAGGUGACAAAAGACAUGGAAGUUAGAAUACCAUCUGCUCUGCUUUGCACUAGUGUUGCCCAAAGGCUCUAGUGUUACAGGAUUAGUCACCAGGGUGGUCCUUUUGGAAGCUGGUGGGAACUUUAGGAGGUAGGACCUAAUGGUAGGCCAUUAUUUCACUGAGGCAUGUCUUUGAAGGUGAAGUGAAAUCAUGACCUCUUCCUCCUUCUCUUUUGCUUUCUAGGCAUGAGGUAAGCGGUUUGCUUUGCCUUGUGUUCCCAUCAUUGCCACCCUGCAAUCUUAUUAGAGGCCACAAGAAAUGGGUCCACCAAGUCUCAGACUAGAAUCUCCAAAACUAUGACUCAAAAUAAAUCUUUUCUCUUUGUAAUUAUCUCAAGGAUUUCAUUAAGUGAAAGAAACUUGAGUCAUACACCCUCUAAUAUAUCAUAAUUCACAAAAAAAGAUAUGAUAGACAAUUAGAAUAUAAAAGUAUUAAUCCAACAAUUCAAAAAAUUCAACAAUUUGCAAAUAGUGUAUAUAUCAGUAAUUCACAUCUAAACACAUAAUAUUCAAACUUUAAAAAUAAAACAAUAUCUUUAAACCAUGCCAAAGUAAAGAAUAAACUUUCAAUAUUGGUAUAAAAAUUAGUGUGGCAAUGGCUUCUUAACAGUAAUUCUGAAUGUCAGAAUUCAGUGGUCUUUCUAGAAAGUAGAAAUAUCUGCAAACUUAUAAUUGUAUGAUGGUUAUCUAUUGCUGUGUAACAGACUGUCAAAAACUUAGUUACUCAAACAUUUAUUAUCUCACACUUACUCUGGACUGUGAUUUAAAAACUGCUUAGCUGGAUAUUUUUGGCUAACAACUUUUCUGAGGUUGCUCUUAAGUUGUACAUCCAGACUGAAGUCAUCUGAAUUCUUGACUGAAAAUGAAGUAUACUCUUAAAAAGUGUAACAUUGUUGUUAGCAAAAAUCUCAGUUUCUCAUUAUCUAUUAACUGGUUCCUCUCAGCUCUUUGUUGCAUGGACAUCACUAUAGUGCUAUGUGAUGAUCCUUACAACACAAUAUCUGGCUUCUCUAGGGUAAUUGAUCCAAGAAAGAGAGAGCAAGGAGGGAGUCACACAGCUUUGUGACCUCCUCUCAUCUCGCAUGCCAUUAUUUAUGUCACAUUCUAUUCUAACCUAAGUCAACUACUACAUCUAUUCCUGUAUAAAGAAAAGGGAAAUUAAAUUUCAAAUUUUGAAGAGAGUAACAUAAAGAAUAUAAGAUAUACAUUUUAAAAGAUUCACAAAUAUAUACAAAAAAGUAAAGAAAAUAUGAAAACACAUUACAAAAAUUGAUAUAUUUAAUCAUAAACAUAUUUCAGGAGAGAUUUUAGGAAUCAUAUAAUACAUACUGUCCAAAAGUUAUAGAUGGGGGUGCAGCUUAGUUUAUAAAAUAGAAAACUAAAACUUGAGAACUGGCUUGCCCCAAACUAAAAUCUAGGCUUUCAGAUUCCAAAUCCCAAGCUCCUUCAGCAACAUAGCACAGGAUUUAGCUUUGACCCGAUUACUCUCUUAGUCAAAAGGUAUUUCAUUUUUCUCAAAAUCUUUGAGCCCUGUAAUGCCUUAUCUUGUGAUAGUUCUAUUUUUAUAUACAAGCUCCCUGAUACCAUCCCUGAGGUAAUAGCAUGCUGGAUUUCUUCAAGGACCAGCAUGGUUAGUGUUUCAGAACUAACAAGUGAGAAGGCCAGGGUCAGGAUUGAAUUGGGAGGUAAAUAAGUAGGGUAUGUGUGGGUAGAGUACUAGCAGCACAGUAGUCAAUAUAUUGCUUCUAAUUAUUUAUUUGUUUAUAUGAAUUUCACCUUUAUAUUCCUUGAAAGCAAACUAUACUUGCUUUGCUUUUUCCUUCUCAAUAACUUUUAAAAUUGCAUUAUUUUAUUGAAUGUGUGAAUGAAUAGAUCUCUUUCCAUGAAACUCUGUCUACAUUAUAUGAUUAAAAAAUAAAUGAUUCGUGGUAAAAUGUCUGAACCAUUGAUAUUAUAAAAACACAAUAGAGAAUGCUCAUGAAAUUUAAAAUGAAAUUGCAUAUCUUUUUUGAAUUUAAAAUAAGUCAAUGACAGAACUAAGCAAAAUAUUGACAUUUGAAAAGUAUUCCUACUAUUUGACAUCUGGAUUUCAUUUAAUUUACAAUUGCUUUGUAAAAAUGAAAUUAUAAUAUGAAAUCAUUGUUGAAGUGUCUAUGAUACCUAAUUAGUAAACUGUAAAUUUCAGAAACAUAUUGCUCUCUUAUCCAGAGUAUGUAAUCCCUAAAAUAUUGGGGAAUAGACAUAUUUUAUACACUCAGAAUAGAAUUAGAGGCCCUAAAGUUCUAUAAUAAUUCACAGAAGAUAUAAGCAUUUGUAACAUGAUUCUAGCCUUAUGAAGUCUUCAUUUAUACUUUGAUUGCCUUUGAUAUAACUAUAAAGCAAUUAAGAACCAAUCUUCUUUUUCAUGGAUUCUGGCAAAUGAAUUUCUAAAACUAAAAUAGCAAUGAGAUUUCACUAUCAUUGUAGUAUUUACAUCAGCUAAACUCCUUCUGAAAGCCAAUAGUCUAAACAGUAUAGUAAAAGUAAAAACUUAUUCCAUGAGAAUCAUCUUUAACAAUCUAAGAAUCAGAAUAUCCCCUCCCACACACACACACACACACACACACACACACACACACACACACACACACACACACAGAGAGAAUAAAAAUAAGUAUGGCCAAAACAGAAGUAGUAGGACUUGCUAAAAAUCAGUAGCUGUAGCUGAGUGGUAAAAGCAGCUGAAAGGGGAGGAAAAUGCUUAACUUGGCCUCCAGAUGGUUUUGCUGAGAACAUGGGUACAAGCUAAAAAUGGAUAGUGGCUCCCAAAGGGCAGAACUUCAAGCAGGGCACCUGGUUUAUUACUUUGUGUAGAAGGAAAACAAGCUUAGAAUGAGAAAAUACAGACUUUCAUAAGCAGUGGUUAAUGGCCUGGUUGUCUGAUUUGAGACUUGAAAGGAAAAGGAUUAGAUGUAUAACAGGGAAGUCAGAAGUAUGGACAUAUAAAUGGACUUAAAGGAGCACAAAGAUUAAAAUUUUCAGGUCAUCUUUGAACACCCACCAGGAAAGUGUCACUGAGUGAGUAGGCAAAAUAUCUCAACUAAUUGACAUUAUUCAACAUUUGUCAUUAGCCACCCCAGAACCACUAUGAAGGUUACAUGGCUGGAAUGGGUAUAGUGGCAGAGACACAGCCUUCCCAUGGGUACAAUGACAUGGAUGCCCACUUACAGGACAUAUCUGGCUACAUGUGCCUUUGAAUAUUUAUCUUGUCAGCCAGAGAUAAACAUUGAACCCCUGAUCUGACACAAUUUUUCUAGAAUAUUGAAUGCUUAGAAAUAAAUUCCACAAAAAUGAGGGGUGUGUCCUGUUUGUAAAUUUGUAGGAGCCCAUUGAUCUGGAGCAUGUCAAGAUAUGUGACAAAUUUCUGUAUCUGCCAACUAUUCUCCCUUAAAAAAUAGCUUUAAAAAUCUUUUGUUUUGUUACUAGAUCUCACUAUUGGUUCACUAGAGACAUAUGUUUAAUGAUGGAUUGACAGGUGACUACAUGACCUGGGAUGUUCAUUGUAAACUGGGGAUUUUCUGACCUGUGGAGUCAAGAAGUUGUGUUUCCAGUAGCUUGCCAUGAUCAAAUGGAAGUCAUAUAUCUGAGAUGGGCUUAAGUAAGUUGUAUGAAUAAAUGGCAGAGGUGCCCAUGGCCCAUACACAUACCACAUAGUUCCUCCCCCUUAAUCUAUAACUGUUUUCUUAAAGGGAAUCUCCUAUGACUAAUGACUAAGAAAAUUAAAUAUGGCCUGGCAGCAAAUCCAGUGCUAUAUUCCUACCAGGGUAUCACUGAAGGAUAGUAGUGAUGGAAAAUUUUCUCAGUAAGUAUCAUUUUUUAUUUAGUAGAUUUUCUUUUUAGUUACAUUUUUAGGAUUUUAGUUAUUUAAGGAGAUAGUUUAAAGAAUUUCCUUAUAACAUUCUCCCUCUUUCCUUACUCUUUUCCUAUCAUUUACCCUAUUAUUCACAUCUUACAUUAGUACAUUUGAACAUCACUACAUUUGUUACAACAGGUAAACUAGUACUGAUACAUUAUUAUUCACCAAAUUCCAUAGUCUACAUUAGGGUUAACUCUUUGUGUUACAUACUUCUGUGGUUUGGACAAAUGUAUAAUAUUCUGUAUUCAUCAUAAUAGUAUUUUGCAGAAUAAUUUUAUUGCCUUAAAAAUCCCCUAAGUUCCACCUAUGCACCUGCUUGCCUUGAACCCUUGGCAAUCACUGAAAUUUUACUAUCUCUAGUUAUUCCUUUCCAAGAUAUCACACAGUUGGUGGGACUAUAUGCUAGCCUUUCCAGAUUGGCUUCUUCUGCUAAACAAUAUGUCAAGAGCUGAGUUGGAAAGAACUGAACUGCCAGAUGCUGAUGUGGUCCAUUAAGACAACAAGCCAAAAUUAUAGUAACUGGUAAGCCUUCAUUUCUGACUGCAAUGUAUAAGCAAGAGGUUAAACAGAAAAAGGUACCAGUUCUCUCAAUGUGACAUUUUACCCUAUGGAAUGGUGCUGGGUGAAGGUCAAAUUUAUAAGUGCAGAUAGGAGAAUCACCUCAGUGCCAAGGCUAUCCUAAGGAAAAGGCUCUUGCUGUUUUAUGGACCUGGUGGGGAGAGUUGGGAGAAGGAACAGAUUAGGAGUGGGAAAGUACUGGAUGCUACUGAGUGAGAAUGGAGAAAUAUUUUCAAGCAUCACCAAUAAGGUGGUCAUGGCAAAGGCAUUUGGGCUAGGAAUGAAGAUAUGUAUCAGAGCAGGUAAGAGGUGAAGGGUUUGAUCCCAUAGCUAAUCCUUUUUGAUUUUGAACCAAGUCUGGUGUGUAGAACAAAGCUUUCCCAAACUUUGUUCAAGUAUAGCAAGAGGUUGGCCAAGUAUAGCCUUUGUAGCAGGUUAUACAGGUCAAGGCCGAAAGAGAACACAUAUCAUUUUGUCCUAGAGCUGGACUCCUCAAUAUGCAUUUAACACUCCUUUUUGUCUUUUUAUGGUUUUACAACUCACAUUUUUAUCAUUGAGUAAUAUUUCAUUGCAUCGAAAUACCAGUUUGUUUAUUCAUUUGCUUUUUAUAAACAUCUUAGUUUCUUCCAGUUUUAGGAGAUUAUGAAUACAGUGAUUUAAAACAUUUAUCUGUAGGUUUUUGUGUAGUUUUCAACACAUUUGAAUAAAUACCUAGGAAGAAAAUUACUGGAUCAUAUGGUUAAACUGUGUUUGGCUUAUAAAAAACUUCCCUGGGCUAGGGAUAUAGCUCAAUGAUAGAUCACUUGCCUGGCAUGCAUGAGGACUUGGGUUCUAUCCUCAGCACCACAAACACAGAGAAACUGCCAAACUGUCUUUCAAAGCGGUUAUAACAAUUCUGCUUUUCCACUAGUAAUGAAUGAGAAAUCCUCUUUCUCCAUAUCUUCUUAGAACUUGUUGCCAGUGUUUUGGAUUUUAGACAUUUUAAAGGGUGAGUAUUAGUCAUUGUUUCUAAUGUGUAAUGUCUUAAUGUCUUAUUAUAUUGAGCACCUUUUCAUAUACUUAAUGCUUUGCUGUAUGGAUAUCUUUUUUGUUGAGAUGUCUGUACAGAUACUUUGCCUUUUUGUCCUUAACAUUGUGUUUUAAGAGUUAUUUUUGCGUUUGUGGACUCAUUCUUUAUCAGAUAUCUGUUUUUCCAAAGAUUUUCUCCUAGGCUUUGGUUUCUCUUUAUGUCUUUUGUAAAAUCAAAAUCUUCUUGUUUUGUUUUGCAGUGCUUAUUAUUGAAUUCAGAACUUCACACAUGCUAGGCAACAGCUAUACCAGAAGUUGUUUAAAUUUACUAAAAUCCAAUUUAUCAAUUUUUUAUGGAUUGUGCUUUUUGGUGUUAUAUCUAAAAAUAUCAGCAAAUUCAAGGUUACCUAGACUUUCUUGUAUGUUAUCUUUCAGAAGUUUUUUAAUUUUAUAUUUAGUACUGUGAACCACUUUGAAUUAAUGUUUUUGUGAAAUAUUAUGUCAGGUCCAAGAUUUACUUUUCAUUUUUGUGUUUGUGUGUGUGUAUGUGAAUACCCAUUUGUUUUAUCAUCACUUAUUAAAAAAGAUUAUUUGCUUAUUCUUUCACCAAUGCCAUGGUGUUUUGAUUAAUGUGGAUUUGUAAUUGUGUCUUUAAAUCAGGUAAUAUUAGUUGUCUGACUUUGUUUUUCUCUAGUAUUAAUUUGUCUGUUAUGAGUCUUUCAUCUUCAGAAUAAGUUUUUCAAUAUCCUUAAAAUUAUUUUGGGGGGUAUUUUGAUCACUCUAACUUGAUUUGAUAGAUCAAACUUGAAAUUAUAGACAUAAUAUUGAACAAUGAACUUGCUUUUGUAUUUUGCCUAGAUGUUAUAUAAGGGUCUGGCGAAACGUCGGAGGGAGAGACCACCCAAGAGACUGACUCCAUGCAAUUGGCAAAAGGGGAUAUUUAUUGGGGAUCCAUUCCAGUGCGCUGGGACUCUGUGCUCACUCAAGGAGGGAGAGCAGCCCAGAGCCCAGAGCAAAGCAUUGAUUCAACCCAAAACAACCAACAGCUACCAGGUAAAGUGAGAUGAGGAACUCAAAGUCAUGGAGUUUUCUGAUCUUUUCACAUUCCCCAUCAUCUGAAGCUUCUGGUAUAAAAGAACAUUGGAAUGGCCUUCUGAAUACUCAGUUUUGGUGUCAGCCACCAUAUGGUGAACAGGUUUCCUCCACAUUCUUGUGCCGAGAUGUUUCUGCCUUGAAGCCAGUCAACUGUGAACUGAAAUCUCUGAAACCGUGAGGGGUGUAUCUUCAUUCAUUCAACAGAGAGGCACCAGACAAGACAUGUUUUUAUAGAUGAAACUUGUAUGAGGUUACAUGUGAAGCUUCUCUCCUAAUUUAGCAAACAAAUGAAUUAUAAAUUCAAAUCCAUGAAAACAUUACUGGAAAUGUAAAUCCUGAUUUUCCUGAAAUGUGUCCUUUUCCAAGUCCAAGUUUAUGUAAGGAGUCUAAUGACUACAGCAUAUGACUCAGCAUACUGCUGUUCAGAGGGACCUUCCCAUGAAAGGUAGAUAGCAUACCUAUAAGAUGUAUGGUGGAUUUCAUAAUUGCUAAUAAUUGAACAGAUUAUAUAAGGGAGAAAUAUAAGUGGUGUUUGGCUUUAAGAAAAACAAAACAAAUAAAAAGCAAAGCCAUUGUGAAUUGCAAUCAUCUUAGGAAUCAGUGUCAUCUUAAACUGCAGGAACAAUUUCAACAUCGUUCAAAUGAAGAUCUAACUUUUUCUUCAAACACUGUGUUCUAUAUCCUGUCUUUAGCUUGGCAUUUACUGCUGGGUUUACCAUAGGCAACCAGCUGUUCUCUACUAUAUGGAACAAGGCCAGGGCUCGGUUGGAAACAAUCAAAGGCUAAAAUUCUACAAAGAAUAAGUGAGAACCAGAGAAUCAAGAAGACUUCAAAGAGUUGUGAAUCGAUAAAAUGGACAGUUUUGAAUGAACGACUAGAUUUUGAUCUUCCUUCCCUCAAGACUGUAUUUAAAUAGUAUUUAGUAACAGAUAAAGCCUUUGCAUUUGUAAAAGCUAGUAAGCAUUUAGUUUGGAAGAAUAAAAAAGUUCUAUUUCUUAUUUUUCUGAAGCAAAUAUUAAUUUCUGAUUUUCCAGAUUUUAAAGUGCAGAGUGAGCACUGUUCAGUGACAAUACAACUCUAUUUGCUCCCUAAAUAUGUUAUGACAUAUUUGCUCAUCUUCUCUCAAUUGAAGUGGUCUUUUCUUUUCAUUUUUUUAGACAGGGUCCUCACUGAAAUUUCUCAGGCAGGCCUAGACUUUUGAUCCCCCUGCCUCAUCCUCCAGAGUAGCUGAAACUAUAAGCAUACACAACCUUACCUGGCUUCCUUCAUCUGCAGUAUUUCUUAUCUUUUUAUUGUGGCACUGACAACUUUGAGCCUAAAGUGCAAACUGUGGUCUGUGACCUUGAGAGCAAAUGCAUAAACACAUAAAAUUAUAUAAUCAGUUUAUGAGUCCCCAAAACCCUAUCCCUUGAGUCCAGUUGCAGAACCUUUACAGCACCUAUAAUGUUCUUUUUAUCCUCUGCCUGUCAAACUCUAAUUCAACUUGCAAGACUUAAGUUGAAUAUGCCACCCCUGAGUGGUCUUCUCUAUUUCUAUCCCUCCAAGCAAGCUGACAUUUAUUAUUCCCUACAUUAUGCUAUAUCUCUAUUAUUAGCAUUUAUUCAUUCUCUUUACUUUUCUUUCUCCCUUCAACAUUUAUUAAACAGACAUCAUAAAACUAAAAUGAAUAAAACAAUGCUUCUUCUUAUGGAACUCCCACUGCACUAAGGGGACUCAUACAAAUAGUGUUAUCAAGUGAGAUAAGUAUUGACAUAGAGUGAAAGAAAUGCCAGGAGAGUACAGAUGCUUGACAUUUCUCACAAAUAUUAAUAUUAUUUAUAGAUAAUUUUGCAAUUUACCCAAAAUUUCCCAACAAUUCAUCUUCAUUUAACAUCCCCGACUUUGCUGAUUGUAUUAUUAUUAUUGACAGCUACAUUUUAUGGUUCAUAAAAUAAAGUCAGGGAAAAAAUAUAUGGAAAAGAAUA